AUACGUAGGUGACAAGCGUUAUCCGGAUUUACUGGGCGUAAAGGGCGUGUAGGCGGUCUUGCAAGUCAGAAGUGAAAUUCCUGAGCUCAACUCGGGCGCUGCUUCUGAAACUGCAGGACUUGAGUGCUGGAGGGGAUAGCGGAAUUCCUAGUGGAGCGGUAAAAUGCGCAGAUAUUAGGAAGAACACCGGUGGCGAAGGCGGCUAUCUGGACAUAAACUGGCGCUGGGGCGCGAAAGCGUGGGGGGCAAACAGGAUUAGAUACCCUGGUGGCACACGCCGUAAACGAUGAAUACUAGGUGUAGGGGGUAUCGACUCCCUCUGUGCCGCAGUUAACACAAUAAGUAUUCCGCCUGGGGAGUACGGCCGCAAGGUUGAAACUCAAAUGAAUUGACGGGU
rnacentral:rRNA from 1 species